UGGCUGAGUGGUAAAGCGACUGGCUUCUGAACCAGAGGGUCCCGGGUUCGAAUCCAGG
rnacentral:tRNA from 1 species